GUGGAAGUUCCAGGGCCAGGGGUAGAACCAGUGACAAUGCCUGAUCCUUAAACCACUGCACCACAGGGAACUCUGAGAACUUUUUCUUUUUUAGGGCCGCACCUGUGGCAUAUGGAAGUUCCCACGCUAGGGGUCUAAUUAGAUCUGCAGCUGCUGGCCUCCACCACAGCCACAGCAACUCCAGAUCCAAGCUGUGUCUGUAACAUACACCAUAGCUCAAGGCAAUGCCAGAUCCUUAACCCACUGACUGAGGCCAGGGAUUGAACCUGCAUUCUCAUGGAUACUAGCCCGGUUCUUAACCUGCUGCACCAUGAUGGGAAUUCCAGAACUUCUUUUUUGAGAAAACUUAAAUAACUCACAUAAACUUCUAUGGACUGUAAACAUGCUUUAAGAGCUAUGAGCUCAUCUGGAUCGUGCUUGAGCCUUUAUAAUAAUGAGAUGCAGUGAUAAGUCUAAAAUACAGUGAUGGUAAUUCAGUUUAUUUACAUUCUGCUAAAAGUUCGAGAGGAGGUAGUUAAUAAAAAUAGACUACCAAACACAGGACUGAAUGAAAUCAAUGUGUCAUCUAUGUAUCUUCACACACACAUACAUAGAAUAUAACAUGCAAGUUAUAGUAUAUGUGUGUGUAUUAUAUGUUUAUGUAUGUAUAUGUGUAUAUAUAUAAAUAUUUAUAUAUAUAAAACUGUGUGUAUGCAUAUUGUGUGUCCAUGUAUAUCAUCUGGUUUGAAGAGCCCUACUAGUUUAAGAAAAGUAGAAAUUACAAAAUGCUCGUCACAGGUAAACUUUUGUCUUGCCAUCAUCUCCUACAGAAAUUAUUCAUAUAAGGUAUUUUAUAACAAUGGUUGACAUCAAACUCUCCUUGUUUUUAUCCUCACUCACUGAUCCUUUCUUCCAGCCCUUUUAGAUGAGUGUGUUUUAGAAACUGGAGCAUCUAGAAUUAUUUCUAUGGACCCCUCUACUUCUCCACAUGCUUUUGCUCCCCCGUCAUCUAAUCCCAUGGUUUUAAGUAACAUUCUCAAAUGUGUAUCUUCUUUCUGGAUCCCUUCUGUACACUUUGAACUCUGUUAUCUCUGGGGCAUCUCCAAGUGAACAUCAAAGUCAACCUGUACAACAGGAAACUCCAGAUCUUCAUUCAAAAUCUGCUCUAAUUGUUGUCUGUUCCAUCCUUUUAGCUGCUCAGGCAAGAAAUCUUAGGGGUUUUUUUUGUUUUGCUUUGCUUUGUUUUUUAAUUUUUUUUCCCCCUGAAUUUACUUUUCACCACUACAUAUAAUCCAUCAGGAAUUCUAUUGGCUCCAUGUUUAGAACAAAUUCAGGAUCUGACCACAUCUCAACCUUUCCACCCAAUCCAAGCCACCACCAUCUUUUGCCCAGAUGACUGCAGGGUAAUCUUAACUAGUUGACCCAUUUCUCCUCUUGCCCCUGUACCUCUGAGAAGACAAAUGAGGAGAAGCCAGCUCACAGCACUCAAAGUAAAGAGCUUUUAAACAAAUGAAAGGCAAUAUCCUUAAAAGAUGGUUUCAAAGGAAACGUAGAAUUUGAGUCCUAGUGACUAUAUCAGAAAAGUUAAAAACAAAAAUCACAGACAUAAAAUCAAAAUAAAAGUCAAAGGAGAAGUUGUAAGUGGGGCUAAGGGAAGUAACUAGCCUUCACACAUUCCACCUGACUCCACCUAAGAAAAGUACUAUAUACAGCAGUAAACAAUUAAUAUGUGCCUUUCUCAUUGAGACUUUCCCUUUUCCCUUAUUCAAAAUUUUAAUAAUCAGAUCUCAGCCCUCACCAGCUCCCCCUCUUCCCCUGAUCUUUUUCACAUCAAUUCUUAGCACCAUCUGCAUAUUAUAUAGUCAGUUAUUUAUUUACCUACAUUUUUAUUGCUUUCCCCUGUUAGGGUACAAUGAUAUGAGGACAGAGUUUUUUUGGGUCUUGUUCACACUGUAUCCCCAGGACUAUUACAGUUCCUGGCACAUAAGUUGUGUGGUUCAGGUCCCAACAGAAAAUGGAAUCCAACUCAAAUGGGUUCUUGUUUCUCUUCUCUUCUUUUCUUUUUUCUUUUCCUUUCCUUUCUUUUCUUUUCUUUUCCUCCUGUAAAGAGUACUCAGGGAGGUGUGAAAGGAAACUAACAGGGGAUUCGAGCACCCAAAAUCAGCAAGUGUGGGAAGUCUCAUAAUCCUGAAGCCCAAGAGGAAGUAGGGCUAAUGAGGUCCAGGAGCUCAGGGAGAGCUGAGGCCAUGGUAGGGGUUGCCUAGCAGGAACUGCUGUCCUUCCAGGAAAGAGAAUGGCCUGUUGCACAGCAGGGAGUGGGAGGGAGAAGAGCAUACAUGCCCUGACCUCUGUUAUCUCCUGCCUUGACUCUCCUGCUGAUGUUAUCCACUGGCCAAGCCAUGGAAAGCCAAAGUCAAAGGAACCCAGCCAUUCAGGACAGCGGUCAGCCUUCCAGGGCACACUAGGCAGAGAAGGACAAGAAUGCAUUUGAGGGGCAAGGGAAAAGCAAACAAGCCACAAGAACCUCAUAAAUAUCAAUGGAACAAAAUGCAAGGCAGUGGCCUUAAAAUGAGAAAUCCAAAUCACUGUUUAUCUCAGAGACCUUAAAAAAAACUGCCAAGAGUGUGGAGAUUCCUUAAAAAACUAAAGACAGAGUUACUGUACGAUCUAGCAACCCCACUUUUGGGCAGAUAGCUGGAAAAGAUGAGGAAAGUCUAAUUCAAAAAAACACAUGCGCUCCAAUGUUCAUAGCAGCACUAUUUACAACAGCCAAGAUAAGGAAGCAACCUUAGUGUUGUCCAUCAACACAUGAAUGGAUAAAGAAGAUGCGGUACACACACACACACACACACACACACACACACACACACACAGUGGAAAACUACACAGCCAUGAAAAUGAAUGAAAUAAUGCCAUGUGCAAUAAUGUGGAUGGACCUAGAGAUUACCAUACUAAGUGAAGUAAGUCAAAGGCAAAUAUCAUAUGAUAUCACUUAUAUGUGGAAUCUAAAAAAAAAAAAAAAAUGACACAAAUGAACUUAUUUACAAAAGAGAAACAGACUAACGGACAUAGAAAACAAACAUGGUUACCAAAGGGGAAAGUUGGGGGGGUAGGAUAAAUUAUAAGUUUUUGAUUAACAGAUACAUUCUACCCUAUAUAAAAUAAACAACAAGGACCUACUGUAUAGCGCAGGGAACUCUAUUCAAUAUCUUGUAAUAAGCUAUAACGGAAAAGAAGCUGAAAAAGAAUAUAUAUUAAACUGAAUCACGUUGCUGUACACCUGAAAUAUUGUAAAUCAACUAUAUACUCCAUUAAACUUUUUUAAAAAUGCCAAGGGCAUAAAAUUCAAAUAAAACUCAGAAAAGGCAAGUUUGAGAGAAGGAAAGAUAAGGAGGCAGGAGUUUCCGUCAUGGCUCAGCAGUUAAUGAACCUGACUAGCAUCCAUGAGGAUGCAAGUUUGAUCCCUGGCCUCCCUCAGCGGGUUAAGGAUCCGGCCUUGUUGUGAACUGUGGUGUAGGGUCACAGACACAGACACAGCUUGGAUCCCAAGUUUCUGUGGCUCUGGUGUAGGCCAGCGGCUGCGGCUCCAAUCAGACCCCUAGCCUGGGAAUCCCAUAUGCCCUGAGUGUGGCCCUAAAAAGACAAAAAGACCAAAAAAAAAAAAAAAGAUAAGGAGGUAGCUUCAAAUCUUGUCAAAUUUAAAAAGAUAGGUAUGUCCCUACAUGUCACAGUUCCUUUGCGUAACUAACUGGCAUUCAUGGGUUGCAUCUUAAUCCAACUUCCUGCCAGGGUGCAGCUCUCCUCUGUCACUCUAGCUCGCAGGCAAGGCAAAGGGCUUUGUGGUGACCACUGAUCUGACGACAUGGCCAAGCUGUAAAUGCCACGCAGUUCCUGUUUUCCUUGAUUGUCUACCCCACUUUUGGUGUGCUCUGCUUUAUGUCAAGAGAUCUAGGAACUGAUUUGAUAUCAGGAAGCCAGAAGAGCAGACACAGCCCCCUGAACACGACAGGGAAGAAAAAGCAAAACUCGACUUUUAUAGCUGAGGUUUGAGGAAAGGAUUCUUUGAAGGAGCAAUACCA
rnacentral:lncRNA from 1 species